CAGCCCUAUAGGAGACACCUCCAGAGAAAGUAACAACUCUCAGUUGAUUAGCUGAGGUAUGUAUGUCAUUUAUGGCAAUACCUGUCUCCAUCCCCUCCGUCUUCUUCUAGGAGACCAAUUUUGUAAAUUGCUACUUUUCUAACAACAGUGGCACAGGUGGCCCAGCAUUCUCCCUUUUCUCAGAGCUGGUUUUCCAUCCUGGAAAGAGGUCUUACAUAUACAAAGUUACUCUAAUCAGUUGUGAGCAUGGUCAUAUAAAUUGUUAUUCAUUCAAAUUAUGGAAUAUUAUAAAGCAGUGAAAAACAAGUUAACUAUAAUCAGAUGGAAUAACUUUGGUAUGUACUGUGUGACUUAAAUAUUGAGUUUAUUUUUAUCAAGUACCUGUCAAGAAAGAAAGUCAAUUCUGAAACAGCAAAAGCUCAAAGUUCUACAGAUGGCUUUCAAAGGAAUUUGAAUUAGACAUCAUUUGAUGUUGCAAAAAACAAUGAU
rnacentral:lncRNA from 1 species